rnacentral:rRNA from 1 species
AUGGCUCAGGAUGAACGCUAGCUACAGGCUAACACAUGCAAGUCGAGGGGCAGCAUUGGAGUAGCAAUACUUCAGAUGGCGACCGGCGCACGGGUGAGUAACACGUAUCCAACCUGCCGCUUACUCGGGGAUAGCCUUUCGAAAGAAAGAUUAAUACCCGAUGGUAUAAAGAGUUCGCAUGUUCUCUUUAUUAAAGAAUUUCGGUAAGCGAUGGGGAUGCGUUCCAUUAGAUAGUUGGCGGGGUAACGGCCCACCAAGUCUACGAUGGAUAGGGGUUCUGAGAGGAAGGUCCCCCACAUUGGAACUGAGACACGGUCCAAACUCCUACGGGAGGCAGCAGUGAGGAAUAUUGGUCAAUGGACGAGAGUCUGAACCAGCCAAGUAGCGUGAAGGAUGACUGCCCUAUGGGUUGUAAACUUCUUUUAUAAGGGAAUAAAGUGAGGGACGUGUCCCUUUUUGUAUGUACCUUAUGAAUAAGGAUCGGCUAACUCUGUGCCAGCCGCCGC